rnacentral:miRNA from 1 species
GCAGACACAUUCCAGCCAAUCAGCAGCAGACCCUCCCUCCCAGACCCUCCCACCUCCUGGACAGCAUCCAUUUUGAAGCUGCAUUCUUCGUGAGCUGUCCAGGAGGUGGGAGGGUCUGGGAGGGAGGGUCUGCUGCUGAUUGGCUGGAAUGUGUCUG